GUGCGGCGGGCCGGGCCUCCGCCUCCCUCCCCCUGCGCACGUGACCAGCGCCGCCGCCCGCGUCACGGCGGGGGCGGGGCGGCGCGAGGCGGGGGGCCCGGGCGGGGCGGUGUCACACCGGUCGCGCGGGCACGGGGGCUCAGUGUCCCCCCGACCGCCCCCUCGUCGGGGACGGAGCUGCUGGUCCUAGGGCCUGAGGCUUGCCCCCUCGCGUGGGCUGUUUCGUUGUUACGCCAAGAAAAUUUAGUUUUAUCAGAUGUCUCACUUCCUCGGAUCAGCAUCCUGCAGAUACGACAGCAGCAGAGGGACAACACAAUGAAACCCGCCGUAUGAAAGAACAGAAACUAAGCCCAGCUGUACAGUGGUGGAGUGACCUCCUUGCUUGGAAGGAAAUAAAGAGAACCCUCACAAAAAGACCCUCCCAGCACUAGACCUCUGCCCUUCAUUUAAAUGGUAUUUUGGAGAACCACCAUUUUCCUUAGCAGAGCAUGUAUCUUUUAAGUGAAGAUCGACUGCUCAAAUAUUCAGUCCACUGCUUUACUUUAAGCUCCAGCUUAUUGUUUGAAACUGGAUUUAUGGUCUCUUGUUGCACAUUUCAGUCCAUCUUUAUUUUCCUAAUUGGUUCACGAACCUUUUCUUACUUGGACAAUUAAAUUAUUUGGAAGCUUAACCUUAACAAAAUAAAUACUUAGCUCUUUCUGCAAUAUGUCAAAGUAUAUUUGCACAACAAAACCAUUCUUUCCAUUGCAGCACUUAAGGCAGAAAUAGAUAUUAUUUCACAAGCUUUAAGAAACAUAGAUUCCUAAAAUCUGAAGAUAUGAAAUGUUGCAAUGUUGUACCACAAAAUUCCUGAUGAAACAUGCGCAGCACGACAAAUCUCUCCAUGCAGAACAUUCCUCAUACCAAUGAUACGUACCCAGCCUUCUAGCACGUUUGAAACAUUCAAUAAUGCCUUAUUUUCUGGGGCAAAUGUCAGAGAAAGGGGCUCAUUCAUGUUAAGAUAGCCUCAUUUUCUAAAAUCAAAGUGUGAAGUCAACCAUCAAAGAGCAAAUAUGAAACUGACUACAAUCCCCUCCUAUUGUGGCCGUUUUGUCACAGUACAUUUUUAGAUGAGUUACAUUUAUGACCAAUAAGUUUACUCCCCGGUUUCUGUUGGA